AGCUUGUUGAUUUUUAUAACAAGUAUUUUCUGCCCGGUGAUUUUAAACGGCCGCGGUACUCUGACCGUGCAAAGGUAGCAUAAUCAUUUGCCCUUUUAUUGGGGGCUAGUAUGAAGGGAAUAACGAAAUUUUAACUGUCUCUUUUUUUGUUUGGAAUUUGCUUUUUUUGUGAAGAAGCAAGGGUGUCAAAAAAAGACAAGAAGACCCUGUUAAGCUUUAUUUGUGGGCUCGUAGUGUGCUUUUAUUUAAUAUGCAGUUAUGAGUGUAAAUUUGGUUGGGGUGACCAAAGAAGAAAAAAAUCUUCUUUUUUAAAACAAACUUUUUGUUGAAAAAAGAUCCGAAUAUUUUCGAUUGUAAGAAUAAGUUACUAUAGGGAUAACAGCGUAAUUUUUUCAAAGAGUUCAUAUUUAAGAAAAAGAUUGCGACCUCGAUGUUGACUUGUCGUCUCCUUUUUAGGUGCAGUAGCUGAAAGGGUUGGUCUGUUCGACCAUUAAAGCGGCAAAGGUGUAGUAGCUAGAAGGGUUGGUCUGUUCGACCAUUAAAACAGUACGUGAGUUGAGUUCAGACCGGCGUGA
rnacentral:rRNA from 1 species